CUGCCUCCAAGCUGUGCUGUUCGGGGGAUUUAGGAAUUAGGGCUUGCUGUUGGUUGUUCUUGGGUUCGGCAGCCAUUUUCCAGCGGCUACCUUUCUCUGGUAGCAACAUCCCUGCUGUGGGUGAGUGUAGGGGAAUCUUGAAGAGAAGUGUUUACUGUAAGUUUUCUUGGAUUUGGCAGCUACUUCCAUCCAGCAGCAAGGAACCGCUGUGGAGGUUAAG